CUGAUUCGAGGUUGUGCAUAACUGACUUAGCACUGGAUACUAUGCCGAUCACUAAUUCAUAAAACAAUAAAGGUGAAAUAUAUAGAAUAGUAAAGUGAUUAGUGUGACUGAUAGUGGUUCAAUUUAAAUAGUCAUAAAUUAUGAUGCACCAAAUCAAAAGAUUAUAGGGCCACCUGGCCGGGAGCAGUGGCUCACACCUGUAAUCCCGGCACUUUGGGAGGCGGGCAGAUCACCUGAGGCCAGGAGUUCGAGACCAGCCUGGCCAACAUGGUGAAACCCCCAUCUCUACUAAAAAUACAAAAAUUAGCUGGGUGUGGUGAAGCCUGCCUGUAGUCCCAGCUACUCAGGAGGCUAAAGCAGGAGAAUCAUUUGAACUGGGAAGGUGGUGGUUGCAGUGAGCUGAGACGCGCUACUGCACUCCACCCUGGGAGACAGAGCAAGACUCUGUCUCAAAUAAUAAUAAUAAUAAAAGAUUAUACUGCCACCAAAAACAUAGUAACAUGUGGGAAAGAAAAGCAAGACACAGAUGUUUUAUUUACAACAUAAUUAUAAUAAAAAUAGGUAUGCAUGGCCGGGCGUGGUGGCUCAUGCCUGUAAGCCCAGCACUUUGGGAGGCUGAGGCGGGUGGAUCACCUAAGAUCAGGAGUUCGAGACCAGCCUGGCUAACAUGGUGAAACCCCGUUUCUACUAAAAAUACAAAAAAUUAGCUGGGCAUGGUGGCACGUGCCUGUAAUCCCAGCUGCUCUGGAGGCUGAGGCAGGAGAAUCACUUGAACCCAGGAGGCGGAGGUUGCAAUGAGCUGAGAUCACACCAUUGCACUCUGGCUUGGGCAAGCGGAGCGAAACUUCGUCUCAAAAAAUAAAUAAAUAACAAAAAUAAAAAUAGGUAUGCAUAUAAAUACAGAUUGUAGAAGAAUACAGAACUCAAACUAGAAAAUCAGACUCUUCUUAGAGGAUACUGAGGAUGGUUCAUCCCAUUGGGGUGCCCUGUAGAUACCUGGAGCUCUUUUGGUUCCUGCUCUGAGUUCUGCUUAUCCAGGAUUUUCUUCUGGGAACCUCCCUCUAUUAGUUAGAGUACAGAGUAUGCUGUAAUAAUAAAGAGACCCCAAAAUAUAGUGAUUGAAUUAAGAUGGAAGCUUAUUUCUCAUCUAACAGUCCAGAGGUAGGAGUGGUGGAGGCUAUAGGGUGGAUCAGCUUCAUUAAUUCAUCCAUGGACUCUGCUGUUUUGGUUUUAUUUUGGUUUGGUUUGGUUGUUUUUUUUUUUUUGUUUUGUUUUGUUUUGUUUUGUUUUCCAAUCCUGCCCCUUCUGCAUUCACUGGUUUCUUUCCUCGACCCUAGGUAUUUUUCCUAAUUUGCAUGGUUAAAGGUGGGGCACUGCAGUGGAUCUGCACUGGCGCCACCUAGCGCUGGAAAGGCCAAGAGGGCCAAAGUAGAGGGCAACCGAUUUCUUUUUAAGCAAGUGAUGCAGAGGACACAUACAACUUUCAUUCAUAUUCCAUUAGUGAGAACUUGACCACACUUGGUUGUAAGGAAAUUCAGGCAAUGUGGUCUCUAGCUGGGAUUCAUGUGCCCAAGUAGCAAUGUAUUAGCACUGUAAAAGGGGAGAACCGACUUUGGGGGACAACUAACAUUUCAUGAUCUGCCCAUUUUCUUCUGACCAACUUCCUCGAGAUAAUUUUCUUUCUUCUGAAUUUCCUAAAGAGAGGUUCGUUUACUUCAGUUUACAGACAGUCCUUGUUUGCUUCAAUGUACCUUAACCGAUGCCUCAUUCUUCAGGCCCUAAUUUAAAUGAUACCUCCUAAAAGAGGCUUACCUGACUACAUUCUCAAAAGCAGGUGCCCCACCUGCUUCCUACCACCAUUGUUCAUAUCUCAGUACUGUGCUUCCUUCACCGGUACUUAUCACAGUUUGAAAUUAUAAUUUUUUUUGCUAAGUUUUUGUCUGUCUCUUCCACUCUGUCUCUUUUCUUCACCACCACAUCUCUACCACCUAGUACAGUGCCUGUCACUGGAUAAGUAAAAAGUAAGUAUUUGGUAUUGAAUGGAUGAAAUAGUAGUCAAGGAUGACUCUGAGAGUUCUGAAGUGAGCAACUAAACAUACUGAUGAGCCAGGCACAGUGGCUCACGCCUGUAAUCCCAGCACUUUGGGAGGCCGAGGCAGGUGGAUCAUGAGGUCAGGAGUUCAAGACCAGCCUGGCCAACAUUGUGAAACCCCAUCUUUACUGAAAAUACAAAAAUUAGCUGGGUGCGGUGGUGGGCACCUGUAAUCCCAGCUACUGAGGAGGCUGAGGCAGGAGAAUCACUUGAACCCAGGAAGCGGAGGUUGCAGUGAGCCGAGAUCGUGCCACUGCACUCCAGCCUGGGCAACGGAGCAAGACUCUGUCUCAAAAAAUAAAUAAAUAAACAUAUUGAUAAAAAGAAAAAAUGGGUAAGCUUGGAGGAAGAAGAGAAGAUGAUCAGUUUUGUUUGCAAAUACUGAAUUUGAAGUUUUGAAUGAUUUCAAGGUGACAUCCAGAAGGCAACUAAAAAUGUGAAUCUGAAGCUCUGGAAACAGCAUCAGAUUGGAACUACAGAUUUGAGAGCCUUGAGAAUUUAUUACAUCACUCAUGAAGAACACGGUGAGAGAACAGAGAACAUUUAGGAGGGAACUGUAAGGAACAAAAACAUUUGCUGGGUGGGCAGAAGAGAGAGCCUGGGAGGAAAUAUCAGGGGCUGUGAACAAGAACCAGGGAGAAGAAACGUUCAGGGAGGAAACAGCAGUCACAAGUGACAGAGAUUGGUGGUAAAUUACAUCACCUAUGUCAGAAAGGGUCCCUUAGACCUGCCAAUUAGGAGGCUUGGGUAUCGUAGCCUUAGCUAGAAUAGUUUCAGUGGAUUGGUGGGCUAUGGACUGAAGACAGAAGGUUAAGAAGCAAAUGUAGCAAUUGUAGAACAUGGUUUCAAGAAGUGCAGCCAUGAAAACAACAGACAGAUUUCAUUUAGAAAGGCAAGGUCAAAGGAGUUUUUUUACUUUUUUUUUUUUUUUUUUUUUAGAAGAAAGGCAGCUUGGAAUCUGUAUAAAUGAAAGAGAGAGAUAGAAUGGGUAAAAAUGAUUGAUGGAAGAAUUUUGACCUACUGGGUUUGAGGUAGGAGGGGAAAACAGAAGGGUGCUCUUCUCUGAAGGUGUAAAGAUAAAUUUAGAGCGGACAGAGCAGCAAAGAGUUGAAAAGUUUUUGUCUGUUGGCCUUCAAUUUAUCCAUGAAGGAAGGAGCAACGUUAUCUGCUACAAGGACGGAGGUGGCGGGGAAAGUCUGGACUGGUUUUUAGGAGACAAGGGGUGGGGGGUGAGGGAAAGACUAUAGAUAAGAGGACAAACAGAAGGUCUGCUUUCGCAGAUCUACUAUGGUCGAAAAUUAUUUUUUCUUUCCUCCCCUCUAUCCCUUCCUAACCUAAGCUUGUCGCAAAAAAGGCUUCAAGCUGCCAAAUCCAAAUUUUUCCACCAAUAUACCCCGAUACUAGUUUUUUCUCCAAAAACAACGGGCAACUAACACGCAGGGCAGAGAAAACAAACAGUUGCCCCAGGCUUCCUUCGUUCGAAUAGUGAAGACUGAGCUGGCCUCGGCACUGUGCAGACUCCCAACCUGUGCUACUGUGGGUUAUUCUCCUUAUAGUGCAGUCACCUCCUAAAUGCUUGCUGAAAAUAAUGGAAGACUUCGAGCCAGAUGUUUGCCUCUUAAGUAACGUCCCCCAAAAGAUGCAGCACAUAUUUAAGGCCUGCUGAAGCAAGCAACGCUGACGGACCAGGUUAUUGCGUUUUUCUCUCGCUGCGUGUCCGGACGCCACACUAUGAGCAUUAAGCGCAUACUGACCAAUUUCUGUUAAGCAGGAACGUGGUGUUCUGAUCAAAACACAGGGAGCCGCGGCCGCAACCGCGCCGAUAAGCUUCCGGGGUCCCAACCCUGUAAGGCAGAACGGCUGCCCAGCUCGGAUGACGCCACACUAACGUAGCCUCCAGACCGCCCAGUGUGGGUGUGUCCAAGCUCACGUCGCCCGGCGUGGCCCCCCCGCUCCCCAAUGACGUAACUGCCCUGCAGCUUCUAGUAGCUUUUCGCAGCGUCUCCGACCGCCGGGCGCGGUGGCGCGUGCCUGUAGUCCCAGCUACUCGGGAGGCUGAGGUGGGAGGAUCGCUUGAGCCCAGGAGUUCUGGGCUGUAGUGCGCUAUGCCGAUCGGGUGUCCGCACUAAGUUCGGCAUCAAUAUGGUGACCUCCCGGGAGCGGGGGACCACCAGGUUGCCUAAGGAGGGGUGAACCGGCCCAGGAGUUCUGGGCUGUAGUGCGCUAUGCCGAUCGGGUGUCCGCACUGAGUUCGGCAUCAAUAUGGUGACCUCCCGGGAGCGGGGGACCACCAGGUUGCCUAAGGAGGGGUGAACCGGCCCAGGUCGGAAACGGAGCAGGUCAAAACUCCCGUGCUGAUCAGUAGUGGGAUUGCGCCUGUGAAUAGCCACUGCACUCCA
rnacentral:lncRNA from 1 species